AUUGAACGCUGGCGGCAGGCUUAACCCAUGCAAGUCGAGCGGAGCGAGGGUGCUUGCACCUUAGCUUAGCGGCGGACGGGUGAGUAAUGCUUAGGAAUCUGCCUAUUAGUGGGGGACAACAUUCCGAAAGGGAUGCUAAUACCGCAUACGCCCUACGGGGGAAAGCAGGGGAUCUUCGGACCUUGCGCUAAUAGAUGAGCCUAAGUCGGAUUAGCUAGUUGGUGGGGUAAAGGCCUACCAAGGCGACGAUCUGUAGCGGGUCUGAGAGGAUGAUCCGCCACACGGGGACUGAGGCCCGGCACAGACUCCUACGGGAGGCAGCAGUGGGGAAUAUUGGACAAUGGGGGGAACCCUGAUCCAGCCAUGCCGCGUGUGUGAAGAAGGCCUUUUGGUUGUAAAGCACUUUAAGCGAGGAGGAGGCGCUCUAGGAUAAUACCCUAGAUGCGUGGACGUUACUCGCAGAAUAAGCACCGGCUAACUCUGUGCCAGCCGCCGCCGUAAUAC
rnacentral:rRNA from 1 species